UGUAGUGACAAAGCCCAUAUGGUAACUAUAUCUAAAUGUUUAUUUGUCACAGGUCAUACAGAGAAACGUUCAGUUAGUUGUCAAAUUCUUGAUCGUACCCUGUACCAACAACAUUCUUGAUAAUUUAUUUAUUGCUGGUGUAAAAAAAUUUGUAUAUUUUUAAAUGGAGAAACUUUUUCUAGGAAGGACGAACAUGCCUAUAAAUUGAUCCUUAUUUAAACAUCUCUUAGAAGGCUUUUAAUUAUUUCAAUUAGGCUCCAAAUUUUUUCUUCUGGAUACAUUGUGUUCUCUCUUUUUCGCUUUCUCUCUACUGCCUUCCCUCCUUAUGGAGUAUUGCGCACUCUUGCGUUUCUAAACCAGAAAUGGAAGAUGGCUGAUUGGAUGAACCAGCUCAUCCUCUUCUGUUUUAUCCUCUCGAAAUUUCCUCCACAAAUCUUUUCCCUUUCUCUCUAUUUCUUGCUCUCUAUUUGACCUUUCUCCAUCUCAGGCUAAUUCUUUCAUGAUUUCUUCUUACAGUUCUUCUCCAGCUAAUAUCGGGUCUACCUCUUCUUCUUCUUCCGUCUGGUUGGUAUUCAAGUGCCCCUCUGGUUAUAUUGUUUUGGUCGUUCCUUAGAGUAUGUCCAAUCUAUUUCUGUUUCCUUCUUUUAAUCGUGAAUGUACUUUUCCCUUUUUUGUUCUUCUCCAUUUCUGGAGCAUCUUGAUGCAUUCCGUUCUGCGUUGUUAUCUUAUCAAGCUAGUCUCUAAUCUUGUCGCUGCACUAUGUUUUCACCGAAAAUAGAGGUAGAAAAUACUGUAGAAAAACUGCGAAUUUAGGUAGAAAGAAUAAUUGAAGCAAGUGAAAGAUUUGUACCAUAGACAAAAUAAAUGAAGUAAUGGCAGAAUUGUCACCAAGCAGCCGAUUCCUUAUCAUCUCUAUUAUUUAUCAUGUGCCACAUAUGUAUCAAACAAGACAUCGAUGCCUAGGGUUCACAGAUGAAGUAGUUAUAGUAUCAAGAAGAAAAAUUUGAAUAAGCUAGACUUAUGGAGCUAGACUUAUAAAGAAGUACCUUGGAAGUAGUAAAAAUUUAAAAUAAAAAGGAAAGAAGUAAAAAUAUAUGAAAUUCAAAAGUAGACAAACGAUAUCUUGCCUUAAUGUUUAUAUUUAAACCAAAUAUCUACAGAAGUAAAUAGAUAAAUAUUGAGUAGUACGGGCACAUAGAAAGAAUGUUAAAAUGCCAUUACAUUAUACAAAUAAGAAAUAGAAACCUCCGAGUAACAUAUGGCAACAUGACUGUAACGAAAAAAUGAUAAAUUAUUUUUUAGGCUUUUAGAAAAAUAUUUUUUAAAAACUACUUUUUGCAUACAGUUGAACUUAACUUGUUUUGCAUUUCCAGGCUUUGCUGGCAAAUGAGUUACAAUUUCUUUUCGUCAAAUAAUUUACAAAUUGCAACUUUCCCUAAUAUUAGGCAUAUCAGGUAUUCCAAGCAGACGUGGAAUUAUUUUAAAAGUAUUUUAUAUUUAUGAAAAAUAUGAAAUUUUUGGUCUAAUAUUAAUAUUUUAGAAUUUCGUUUCAAGGCCCGGUAAACAAAGUCGUGUUAAAAUCCAUGGACGGAUUUUUGGUCUUAUCUAACCUGACUAGAAUUUUUACACUCCCACAGAGUCUUUAUAAAUACAUAUAUGUUUACACUAAUUUAUUCGGUUCCACGACAUCUCGUAAGACGACAGUUUGUAACUCGACAAAUGAUAACGGGCAAUUCGUAACGCCGAAAAUUCGUAACGCUGAAAAUUCGUAACGGCGAUAUUUCAUAAGUUCGUAACUAUACAUAUUCGUAACGGUAUAAGUAGUUUUUUUAGCAAAUUUAGUAUUUCUAUAGUAUAGUAUCUAUUCCUAUAAUAAAUGUAAUGGUACUUUUUUUAAGACCGCUGCUUUUUAAAUAUAUUUCACACAUAUUUUUGCAUAUAUUCUUGUUAAUAAUGACAACUGAGGAAUUCUUUAUCUAGAAUGAUCACUUUAAAGUAGUAAAACUAAGUGUGAAAAAUAAUGAAAGAAAUAAAAACAAAUUAAUAAUAAUGUAUAUUAUACUUAAUAUAACUAAUAUAAUUUACAUUACUAAGUAGAUUAUAUUAAUUUAAGAGAUAAUUUUAAAAAUAUAUUUCUUUACGAAAUACAAAAUGUGUUAAAAAUUAUUAUUCUGGUCCUGGCUCGGUAAAUUGAUAAACGUAAUGUCAAUAUUUUAACUGUAAUGAAAGUUGGUUUCAACGUUAACAAAAAUAAAGAGAAUAAUUCAAUUUUGACGUUACGAACUAUAUCGUUACGAAUACGUAUAGUUACGACCUGUCGCCGUUACGAAGUGUCCGUUACCGUUUGUGGAGUUACGAUCUGUCGCGUUACGAGAUGUUUUGUCACGAAUGUAUUCACAUCUUUGAAGAUAUACAACAGCUACUUAUAUUAACUAAAUUAUUGUUAAUUUUUCAUUAACCAUAAGAUCCAAAGAAUCCGAAAAGGCAUUUGACGGUAUUGACCUUUUAAUAUAUGGCCGAGGCAGUGCAAACUUACAAAACCUCUAUAUAUAAGGAAUGAAAAUUAUUUUGAUUCAUUCACAGGACAUAUUGUGGGUUGUCUUCAGUUCAAAUUCAGGAUUUUAUCAGGAAUUGUUUACUCUACUAACAUAUUUGUCUCCUUAGAUACACAUAUAUAUUUGUAUAUACUAUUUUCAUGAAUUUUUAAUUAGUUAAAGACUUUGGGUAGUACGUAAAUCUAUUUUUAAGAAAUAAUUAUCUUUGGUCUUUGUCACGUAUUCACGUAUUCCUAAAUCGUGGGCUACUAGUCCAAAAAUAUAUAAAAUUGAAGUAUAAAGAUUAAUUUGAGGUUUAGCAAUAGUUAUGAUAAAAGGUUAUAUAGGACAGAUGAUCUAGGAUGUCACUUGGAUCAGUCUUUUGACAUGCAGGAAUACCUUGUCGAUCUGGCUCUUUCUUUGUUUAUACAUGUGAAGCAAAUGUAAUGUUAAAUAGCACCAAUUGAAUAACUUUAUCUAUCUAUUCUAGAUAUAAUAUUUACUUUAAUUAAUAGGAUCAACCCGCAAUUAUAAUUGAAAAUACAUUAUUUUUGACUGACUAAAUGUUUACAGUGAACCGAUCACAAAUAUGUGAAUUUCAAAGCUGCAUAUUAUGACUCUUUAGCUGUUUGAUGCUACUGAUGAUAAGAAUUUAUUGGCACAAUUGUAGUAGUAAUGUUUUAGAGACUGGCUAUUUUGUCCUAGUUCAAUUUAUGUUGUAUUUUUGUUUUUUAUAUUGAGAUUCCUUGCAUUGACGAAUGCAAUAUAAUAUUAUUAUCAUAUCUGUUUUUCAUAUUUUGCUUUAUCAUGAAAAUAGUAUAUACGUCACAAUGUUAUGAACCUAAUUAUAGUAUACAGUAUUUAUUUUACAAAAUAAUGCUUCAAGUAAUAUCUAAUCUAUCGCAACUUCUCAUAAAUGUAACAUACUUUUCACAUAGACAUAGUCACAAACUACAUAGGACUUAAAAAUUGGUUUGAAUUUGAAAAGAUUUUAUUUUGUCAACAUUAGCCAAAAACUUAUAGUUGAUCAUGACUUGAUAGGUUUUUUAAAAUUUUUCUAAUCAGGAAACAACUACUUUAUUUGACUAAAUCAUUGUUAAGGUGGUGAUUUGUAGUAAUAAUAAACCAGAUAUAGAAUUCGGAAAAAUGUAAACAAAUAAGGGGGCAAAAAAAUGUAAACAAAGUUUGUAAUUUCACUUGUUUCCCGUGAUAUUUACAUGAAAUUUUGUGAGAGUGGUUUUUUUAGUUUAAAGUAAGAUAAUCUCCGGAAAAUAAUCAUUUUUUAUUUAUACGAUUAUAUUUUUAAAUCAUAAUUAGAUAAGAUAUCGUUUUUGUAAUAUAAAACAAAAUAGCGCAAAGGAUAGAAAACAUAUUAAGUUGUGAGAUAAAUAGAAAUCAAACUAGUAGAGUAGGGAAAUUUAGCGAUAGAAACAUAUAAAUUUACAUUAUAUUGAUUGUUUCCCACCUCUAGACGUACCUAUCGGACGAGUUUGUCAACUAACACUGUCACAGUGACAAUUUUAGUUGACAUACUCCUCUGAUACGUCUAAAGGUGGGAAACAAUCGAUAUAAUGUAAAUUUAUACGUUUCUAUCGCUAUAAGAGAACGCUGUAAACUCAAAUUCUUAUCCCUUUAUUUGUUUUCCGCCGAAAAAUAGCGCUCUCUACCUGUUGAUUGGUACGAACACUCUAUUGAAUCUAGGCUGAAUAUAGAGAAGAUAUCUUACCUGCUGCUCCAGUGUAAGGAGUAUAAGCAUCAAAUCCGUUUGUGUACUGGCCGGUGUAGGGGGCAGCCGCAGCUGCUGCUACUGCUGCAGCAUUCUGGUACUCGUAGAACUGCGAGGUAGCCGCUGCUGCCACGGCUGCAGCAUGCGUCAGUUGCGUAGCCUGUAGAGGAACUAAACUGCCGGGUGCGGUAGCUGCCAGAUAGGGUGAUGGGUAGACGUAGCCUGGUGGAACUCUGAAAAUAUUGACGAACAAUUAGGAUACUAAGAGGUGUGGGUCAAAUGUGCGAAAAAGCAAACACCAGAAGACUCAAACCUUGGUGGCCGAUAUAAGAUUAUAGCAAGUAUUAUACAAAUAAAAUUCAGUGAUACAGUUGUUCAGAUAUCUC
rnacentral:lncRNA from 1 species